AAUAAGUACACGUCAUACUGCGUUAUGUUCUUCACUUUUAUAUCUUACCGCCAUUAUUUGCAAUAAAUUAUUCUUCAAAAUUAUAUCAAAGUCAGCAGUCUAUAAAAUAUAUUCGAAGGAUAAAUAUAAAGUUUAAGUAGAGUACGGUGAUGUGAUGCAUAAUUAAAUUAGAGUGAGAUGAUUUAGCAAGUGAUGAUUUUACUUUAGUAAUAAGAUCCAAGAGCGAUGCCCCGAAGGCCCCGAUCAUGUCGAGGUGAACUGAGGACAGAUAAUAAAAUGAGAGAAGGAAAAGAGUAGGCGCGAUCUGAUGUUUAAGCUUUAUUUCGAUGCCGGGGUCACGGCUUACACGACUCAACUUUACCUACCGCCAUUUUGAACACGAUAAUUUAAGAUGCUACUAUAGUAUAUAUAAACUUUUCUAUAUACAUAUGUACUAUAUGUAUACAUUAUUGUGUAAGUAUAAUAAGAUAAAUGAAAUUGUAAGACUAGCGCAAUGUGCUCGUCCAUGAGUUUUCGCCCUCGUCGUCAUAUACGUCGAAACGACCGUUUAAUAUCGCCAGCUGGCACGUGAAGCGGCAAUGUACUGUCUGGCAUUGCAAACCUUGUCAGCCGUCCCUGCUGCACUCCUACUGCUAUUGCUAGUGAUAUUGGUAUAUGCCAUGCUACACAUAACACAUAACACAACUGUACUCCUGCAGCAAGUUUACUUGGACUCAGCCAGAAUUUAUCCUAUUCUAAAUAAUGCAAUAGUACAUCUACAUAAUUGAGUAGCCUGACAACUGUUCCAUUUCUCUACGCUCUUUUAAAUAUUUAACCGAAA